UUGUCAGAUGGCUUCUGUAGCUUCUCCAUG
rnacentral:piRNA from 2 species